rnacentral:rRNA from 1 species
GACGAACGCUGGCGGCGUGCCUAAUACAUGCAAGUAGAACGCACAGUUUAUACCGUAGCUUGCUACACCAUAGACUGUGAGUUGCGAACGGGUGAGUAACGCGUAGGUAACCUGCCUGGUAGCGGGGGAUAACUAUUGGAAACGAUAGCUAAUACCGCAUAAUAUUGAUUAUUGCAUGAUAAUUGAUUGAAAGAUGCUAUUGCAUCACUACCAGAUGGACCUGCGUUGUAUUAGCUAGUAGGUGAGGUAACGGCUCACCUAGGCGACGAUACAUAGCCGACGUGAGAGGGUGAUCGGCCACACUGGGACUGAGACACGGCCCAGACUCCUACGGGAGGCAGCAGUAGGGAAUCUUCGGCAAUGGACGAAAGUCUGACCGAGCAACGCCGCGUGAGUGAAGAAGGUUUUCGGAUCGUAAAGCGCUGUUGUAAGAGAAGAACGGGUGUGAGAGUGGAAAGUUCACACUGUGACGGUAUCUUACCAGAAAGGGACGGCUAACUACGUG